UACCCUGGUAGUCCACGCCGUAAACGAUGUCGACUUGGAGGUUGUUCCCUUGAGGAGUGGCUUCCGGAGCUAACGCGUUAAGUCGACCGCCUGGGGAGUACGGCCGCAAGGUUAAAACUCAAAUGAAUUGACGGGGGCCCGCACAAGCGGUGGAGCAUGUGGUUUAAUUCGAUGCAACGCGAAGAACCUUACCUACUCUUGACAUCCACGGAAUUUGGCAGAGAUGCCUUAGUGCCUUCGGGAACCGUGAGACAGGUGCUGCAUGGCUGUCGUCAGCUCGUGUUGUGAAAUGUUGGGUUAAGUCCCGCAACGAGCGCAACCCUUAUCCUUUGUUGCCAGCGAUUCGGUCGGGAACUCAAAGGAGACUGCCGGUGAUAAACCGGAGGAAGGUGGGGAUGACGUCAAGUCAUCAUGGCCCUUACGAGUAGGGCUACACACGUGCUACAAUGGCGCAUACAAAGAGAAGCGACCUCGCGAGAGCAAGCGGACCUCACAAAGUGCGUCGUAGUCCGGAUCGGAGUCUGCAACUCGACUCCGUGAAGUCGGAAUCGCUAGUAAUCGUGGAUCAGAAUGCCACGGUGAAUACGUUCCCGGGCCUUGUACACACCGCCCGUCACACCAUGGGAGUGGGUUGCAAAAGAAGUAGGUAGCUUAACCUUCGGGAGGGCGCUUACCACUUUGUGAUUCAUGACUGGGGUGAAGUC
rnacentral:rRNA from 1 species